AAUAUAAUAAAAAAAAAAAAAAAAGAAGUAGAAACUUGCAUUGUAAGAAAUAUCCUUGAUAUCAAACUAGAACACACCAUCACUCACAUUUAGGUCAUUCAGUUAUACUCUCAAUUAAAAGAAACAUGUUCAAAUACUUUCAUUGAUAAGACUUUCACCAUUCCUACCAAGUGUAAAGCACUUUUACUACUUUGAUUAUUAAUUUUUUUUAAAAUUGACUAUUGCAAAAGAACUAUCUGUUAGAGUUUACCUGACCCUAAAGUAUGCACAAUGAUCAAAAUGACCGGAAACCACCAAGACUGACAAUCAUAAGAAAAAAUCCAAAAUUGUCUAAUAGGGUACAAACUCAGGAAAUUCAGUCUUACACUCAACACAUCCUAGCCACAUCAUCCCAUCAUUAGGCCACAACAAAAUUAUUGUAUACCUGAAAGUUACAGUUUCAACAAUUCAUUUCAAAUAGGUAUUUCACAUUUCAAAACACUGUGCCUAGAAUGUCAAAUUAAAUGUAACUAUUUCUUUUAACAGAUCCAAAGCAACAAAAAAGGACAAAGUUUAAACUGUUUAAUCAAGAUAAACUUUAUACUGUUAAAUUAACUUAAAUCUCUGCACACACAUAUUUAUAAUGCCCCCAAUAAACAAAAUAGUGCAAACAUCAGAAUGUUUCAAUUGGAAGAAAUACUGUAGUAAGAUUUAGAUUUUACCCCCCCCCCCC